rnacentral:rRNA from 1 species
UGGGGAAUAUUGCACAAUGGGCGCAAGCCUGAUGCAGCCAUGCCGCGUGUGUGAAGAAGGCCUUCGGGUUGUAAAGCACUUUCAGCGGGGAGGGAGGCGAUAAGGUUAAUAACCUUGUCGAUUGACGUUACCCGCAGAAGAAGCACCGGCUAACUCCGUGCCAGCAGCCGCGGUAAUACGUAGGGUGCAAGCGUUAAUCGGAAUUACUGGGCGUAAAGCGCACGCAGGCGGUCUGUCAAGUCGGAUGUGAAAUCCCCGGGCUUAACCUGGGAACUGCAUUCGAAACUGGCAGGCUAGAGUCUUGUAGAGGGGGGUAGAAUUCCAGGUGUAGCGGUGAAAUGCGUAGAGAUCUGGAGGAAUACCGGUGGCGAAGGCGGCCCCCUGGACAAAGACUGACGCUCAGGUGCGAAAGCGUGGGGAGCAAACAGG